UACGUAGGGACCGAGCGUUGUCCGGAAUCAUUGGGCGUAAAGAGCGUGUAGGCGGCCACUUAAGUCCUGCGUGAAAUCUUGCGGCUCAACCGCAAGCGGUCGUGGGAAACUGGGUGGCUAGAGUGCGGGAGAGGAGAGUGGAAUUCCUGGUGUAGCAGUGGAAUGCGCAGAUAUCAGGAAGAACACCCGUGGCGAAGGCGGCUCUCUGGAACGCAACUGACGCUGAGACGCGAAAGCGUGGGGAGCAAACAGG
rnacentral:rRNA from 1 species